rnacentral:lncRNA from 1 species
UUUCUCUUCCUCCUCAGCAGUUGGUGGUUUGUUAUAAACCCUAUUUUGUUUUCCCGUGCGCAGUUGUGAUUCUUUCAUUCCCCACGCAGAGAAUUAUUGGUUUUCUACCAUGUAUUCGGUAGUUACAAACCCUACUUUUAUCCCCUAGCAGAGGUAACCUUUGUGGUUAAUUCUGGUUGAUGGUGGAUUUUGUGGUCUUCUCCCCA